AAUCAGCCGGUGCGCGCAGCGCGUACGGAGUAUUGCGCUGUUUUCUGAGUUUUGGUGGAGGUCGUUCACUAAACUCAGCUGCUGCUCUCGGAGGUCAGUUUGGAUUAUUCGGUGGACGCGUGUUGUAUUGAGCACAAUUCACCACAGAGUUCAUCCCAAAGUUUGGACCGCUGUCACAGCACACUUCUGCCUGUCUUUUAGGGGUGCUUUUUUGCCUUUAUCUGACAGUUCAGCAGGAAAGAGCAGCGGAAGACGCACCGCAAAGAGCUACAGUUUCUUGUUAUGGGUUGAUAAACAAACAGGGUGAGGGUCUAGCUCUACCGGAAGCCAUUAACAUGGAACCUGGAAAAACAGCCAGAAGACUUGACUUUGUGAUUUUUUUCAAUUUAAAAU
rnacentral:lncRNA from 1 species